AUGGCGUCCGUCUUUGAGCCCUCAGUGUGGAGUGACUUCUUCCGCCGAUACAAGCCGCAGCCACCAAAUAUCUCACAGGAAUGGAUGAAGACCAGAAGAGAUAAACUGAAGAAAGAUGUUCUCUUAUUGUUUAAGACUUGCACCAACAAUUUAGAUAGAAUGACACUGGUGGAUGUAGUCCAACGCCUAGGAAUAGAACACCUGUUUGAAGAACAGACGGCUACUGCACUAACUGACAUCCAUCGAAGUGAAUUCAACAGCUCUAAUCUCCAUGAUGUAUCUCUUCGGUUCCGCCUUCUUCGGGAACAUGGACUUUGGGUAUCUCCAGAUGUGUUCAAAACUUUCAAAGGAGAAGAUGGCACGUUUAACCAUGAUAUAACAAAAGAUCCAAAGGGACUCUUAUGUUUCUACAAUGCAGCAUACGUGUUAACCCAUGGCGAGCCAUUACUCGAAGAGGCCAUCUCUUUCACGAAAUAUCAUCUGGAAUCUUUGGCACCAAGCCUCGUCUCCCCUUUAGCUGAGCAGGUCAAGCGUGCCUUGCAUGUACCCUUGCCAAGGACCUACAGGAGGUUGGAGGCACUGCAAUACAUGCCAGAAUACGAAAAAGAAGUAGGGUACAAUCCAACUCUUCUAGAGCUUGCAAAGCUGGAAUUUAACCUCCUCCAGAGUGUCCACUUGAAGGAGCUCAAAGCUAUCUCAGAGUGGUAUAAUGAUCUGUCAGCAUACGUGGAGCUAAGUUUUGCUCGGGAUCGUGUGGUGGAGUGCUACCUUUGGGGCUACUCUGUCUUCUAUGAGGAAGAGUACUCUCUAGAACGAAUGAUCUUUGCAAAGUGCACAUUUGUGCACACAUUAUUGGAUGACAUCAACGACGUUCGUGCCACCUUGGUGGAGUAUCGGAAGCUAGACACAGCCAUACAGAGAUGGAAUGAGAGUGCUAUUUCCCUUGUGCCCGACUACUUGAAGAAGUUCUAUAAUAAACUUCUGAUGUGCUUUAGGGAGUUCGAGGAUGAGUUGACACUUAAUGGUAGAUACCCGAUUGAUCACAUCAAGAAGACGUUCCAACAACAGUCAAAAUUUUAUCUCCAAGAAGCUGAGUGGUUACACCAGAACCACAAGCCAAGCUUUAAAGAUAAACUGCAUCUGGCUGCCAUGUCCACGGGCGUCACCGCGCUAUGUGUGUAUACGAUGGUUUGCAUGGGUGAUGGAGCACCCAAGGGAGCACUCGAGUGGGCACUUGGAUACCCCGAUGUCAUCAUGGCGUGCGCCAAGAUUGGGCGCUUAAUGAAUGACCUUGCUGGCUCAUCUAAACACCGGAACAAUAGGGGGGACGUGGCCAACUGUGUGGAUUGCUACGUCAGUGAGCAUAAGGUUACAGACAAGGUCGCCUUUGCUGCAAUCGACUCGAUGAUAGAAGAUGAAUGGAAGACCACCAACCAAGCUCGGUUUGAGCAUCGCCGUGAGCUCUUCCCGGUGGUGCAACGGGUUGUCAACUUCACUCUCAGCCUGCCGGUGUACUAUGGUGAUAGGAAAGAUGCCUUCACAUUUAGCACGCAUCUUAACGGCAUUAUCAAGAACCUCUUCGUCAAGCCCAUACCGAUCUAG
rnacentral:rRNA from 1 species